rnacentral:lncRNA from 1 species
GGCUGCAAACCUCUUCAGCUCCUUGGUCCCUUUCUUUAGUUCCUUCAUUGGGGAUCCUGUGCUCAGUCCAAUGGCUAGCUGAGAGCAUCCACCUCUGCAUUUGUUAGACAGUGGUAGAGCCCAUCAGGAGACAGCUAUAUAAGACUCCUGUCAGCUUCUUUAGCUUAAUAUCAUGCUUUCUAUCCUUAAGUCCUAGAGUCAAUCCAUGAAAAUUAAAAAAAAAAAACCCGCAAAAUAAACCCCCCAAAACAAAGGCAUACUGUAAAGUCCUUCUGUUGACAUAGCUACCAGAAGACAUAGUGCACCUUUCUCCAUGUAUGACUCAUUCCAAUCUAUCUAUGUGUUUUGCUAGAGAUUGAAGUAACACCUUAUUAGACCCCACCGGUAAGGUCCAUUUCACAGGCUGAAUGGUGUCAUUUCUAGUUCCAGAAUUCAUAAUGAAGGCUUGCUUUUAUAGCCACUGGAGGAAUUAGGAUUCUUAUUCUGGGUUCAAUAACAUUUAUAGCAAAUGUUUCCUAGGCACAUGUUCAGAAUUAACCUUAAGGAACAUGAGAGCAAUGUUUGUGGAAUACAAUUUAGGAGAACAUUACAAGCUUUUAUGGAAUUAAUGGUAUAAUUGAUAAGAAAGUUUUAUUCCACAUUGAACUUCAGAUAAGAUGUGAAAAGUAACUGAAAAAACAGUCAAGAAGUUCAUGUUGCAGAACAAAAUUAACUGUUAGUUAAAUAUUUCCUUAUGUUUCUACUAGAUCACCUGUGUUUCUAAUAAGUAUAAUUUAGGGAUUUCACCAUGUCUAUGACAUCCACUUUUAUGAAUGUUUUCUGCAAAUAGUGCAAGCCUGCCUUGAAUUUAAAAUAAUAAUAGAAUUUUCAUUUGACUCUAAUGCAUUAUAACUCAGAAGUUUAUUUAUUAAAUAAACCAGGUAAAGAGGCUAGCAUAACAUUAAAUAGCUAUUAGCAUGAGAUAUUCAUGAGUCCCUAUUGCAAUUUUUAGUAAAUCAUUUACUGUUAAUAUUAUACUCAGAAAAGUAAUUUCCCUCAAACUAAUAGGAAAUACAUAUUUACUUAGUAACCAAUUAACAGAAUUUGUUUUAUAUUCGGUAAGCUAGUCACUUGGAUUGACAUGAUAAAAUUUACAAAACAAACAGUUUACAAGUAAGAUUUACUUGUACAUUGUUCACUGGAUUUGGCAUUGAAUUGCUAAAACUCUUUGCCUUGUGAUUGUCAAGAAAAAAGAGAAAGAGAAGCCAUACUAACAGAUUUCUUCUUUAUCAUUUUUUUUUUUAAUUUCACGUCUGGCGUUGGCUAUUGGACAGGACUGACCAUCAUCACUUACAGUCUUUACUUCUGAAGUCCUGAUCCCCAUGUCAAUCAUCUCUGGAAACACCCACAAAUACAUCCCAGAAAUGUGUGUUCCCCCACUUUCCUGCAUUUCUCAAGUCAAUCAAUGAAGAUUAACCAUCACAUCGUGGUGUAGAAAUAAAGUUUGAAUAUUAUUUGUCUUAGUCAGUGUUCUAUUACUCUGAAGAAACACCAUGAGUACAUCAAUUCACAAAAUAAAGCAUUUAAUUGGGGAUUACAUACAGUUUCAGAGUUUUAGUCUAUUAUUAUCGUCAUUGGAAGCACGGUGGCACAACAGAGAUAUACUUGUAAAUAAGUAGCAGAGAGUUCAGCAUUCAGAUCCAAGAGGACCAGGAAGACAGAGGCGCUGAGCUUGGAUUGGAUUUUUGAAAACCUCAAAGCCAGAGACAUGAGCUCCGGGAGUACUGGUUAGUUCAUAUUGUUGUUCCACCUAUAGGGCUGCAGAUCCCUUUAGCUCCUUGGGUACUUUCUCUAGCUCCUCCAUUGCGGGCCCUGUGAUCCAUCCAAUAGCUGACUGUGAGCAUCCACUUCUGUGUUUGCUAGGCCCCUGCAUAGCCUCAUAAGAGACAGCUCCAUCUGGUUCCUUUCAGCAAAAUCUUGUUGGUGUACGCAAUGGUAUCAGCGUUUGGAGGCUGAUGGAUCCCCGGGUAUGGCAGUCUCUAGAUGGUCCAUCCUUUCAUCUCAGCUCCAAACUUUGUCUCUGUAACUCCUUCCAUGGGUGUUUUGUUCCCAAUUCUAAAAAGGGGUAAAGUGUCCACACUUUAAAAAAAAAAAACUCAAUCCUGCUGACACUCAUUUUGAAAUUUUAACUUCCAGAUGUAAGAAAAAAAUAAAAGUUUACAUUUUACCCUAUAACUGUGCUCUUGCUUUCACAUACUAGUUCUUUCUUCUUUAUUUUAAUGUAUCUCAACACUUAAUCCCUAAUUAUUGAUCUUACUUGGGAAAGUUGUAGAACCUUCAUGAAGUAGAGCCUUAACUAUGUCAAUGUGGUGGGCUUUGAUG